rnacentral:tRNA from 1 species
UAAGGAUUUAGCUUAAUUAAAGUGUUCGAUUUGCGUUCGAAUGAUGCAAGAUAGAAACUUGUAAUUCUUA